AUGGAGCACGAGCAGCUACUGCAAGCCAGCACGGAGCUCAUGAACCACAGCCUGGGCUACAUCAGGUCCAUGGCCCUGGGCUGUGCUGCCAAGCUCGGCGUCGCCGACGCCAUCCACCACGCCGGCGGCCACGCCACCAUGGACGACCUGCGCGCCGCGCUGUCCCUCCACCCGAGCAAGCUCCCGUACAUCCUGCGCAGCGUCAUGCGCGUGCUGGUCGCCUCGGGCGUCUUCGCGCAUGACGAGGAGGAGGACGACGAUGAUAUCUACCGCCUCACGCCCGUGUCGUCCCUGCUCGUCACCGCCACCGGCGGCAACGGCGGGAGGAGCCUGCUGCUGUUCGUGCUCCUCCAGCUCUCGCCGCCGCUCUGCGUGACGCCGGCCACGAGCAUGGCCGAGUGGCUCACGAGCGGCGAGGAGGAGACGCCGUUCGAGAUGACGCACGGCGCGGGGCUGUGGACCGUCUGCAGCCGAGACCCGGAGCUCGGCGAGCUGUUCAACGACGCCAUGGCGGCCGACUCGGCGUUCAUCAUGGACGUGGCCAUCCGUGGCGCGGGCCGCCAGGUGUUCGACAAGAUCACCUCUCUUGUGGACGUCGCAGGUGGCACCGGCACGGCGGCGAGGGUGGUGGCCGCCGCGUUCCCGCAUAUCAAGUGCACCGUGCUGGACCUUCCUCACGUGAUCGAUUCCAUUCCGGCGGACCAUCGCGGCCGCGAUUUUGUCCUACACGAUUGGAGUGAUGAGGACUGCAUGAAGAUACUAAAACGAUGCAAGGAGGCAAUUCCUUCCAGAGAAGCAGGAGGGAAGGUCAUUGUCAUAGAUGGUGUGGUUGGAUCCUCCACCCAAGCAAUGUGCCAUGGAACCCAACUGUUGUUUGAUCUGCUUAUUUCGACUACAUUACCAGGCAUGCAGAGAGGUGAGAAAGAAUGGUGCAAGGUAUUCAAGGAGGCAGGAUUCACUGACUACAAGAUAAGCCCUGUGUUAGGUAUUCGAUCCAUUAUCGAAGUCUUUCCAUAGGGCAAUCUCA
rnacentral:lncRNA from 1 species